UAUGGCCAUACCACCCUGAAUGCGUGUGAUCUCGGAAGCUAAGCAGGGUAGGGCCUGGUUAGUACUUGGAUAGAAGAAUAAGAAAUAUGCAAAUGUCUUAA
rnacentral:rRNA from 1 species